CCGGGAUUAAGGAAGCCUGAAGACCUGAAUCAUAAAUGAGUGUGUGUGUCAGCUUAAGCCAUCAGAGACCGGGAAGUAUAGUAACAUGAAGUCCAGUUCAUCAAAAGAGGAACUUCAUCACUGCUUUCACUGUUUAUGAAACAACCAUUUUUCCACACAACCCUUUGGAGGUCACUUAUCUGCUAAUGUCUGUAUGACGACAGCUGGCUAGCAGUUAGCGGUGUAAUCCUGCCCGCUCCUGCUGUCUGUGCACUGUCUAUGGCCUCAUUGAACGCGCUGAUGACGUGAUGUAGGAGCUACGAAAUUGAG